rnacentral:rRNA from 1 species
UACAGAGGGGGCAAGCGUUGUUCGGAAUUACUGGGCGUAAAGGGCGCGUAGGCGGCCUUCUAAGUCGAACGUGAAAUCCCCGGGCUCAACCCGGGAACUGCGUCCGAUACUGGAAGGCUUGAAUCCGGGAGAGGGAUGCGGAAUUCCAGGUGUAGCGGUGAAAUGCGUAGAUAUCUGGAGGAACAUCGGUGGCGAAGGCGGCAUCCUGGACCGGUAUUGACGCUGAGGCGCGAAAGCGUGGGGAGCAAACAGG